rnacentral:rRNA from 1 species
CCUACGGGAGGCAGCAGUGGGGAAUAUUGGACAAUGGGCGCAAGCCUGAUCCAGCCAUGCCGCGUGAGUGAUGAAGGCCCUAGGGUUGUAAAGCUCUUUCACCGGUGAAGAUAAUGACGGUAACCGGAGAAGAAGCCCCGGCUAACUUCGUGCCAGCAGCCGCGGUAAUACGAAGGGGGCUAGCGUUGUUCGGAAUUACUGGGCGUAAAGCGCACGUAGGCGGAUAUUUAAGUCAGGGGUGAAAUCCCGGGGCUCAACCCCGGAACUGCCUUUGAUACUGGGUAUCUAGAGUCCAGAAGAGGUGAGUGGAAUUCCGAGUGUAGAGGUGAAAUUCGUAGAUAUUCGGAGGAACACCAGUGGCGAAGGCGGCUCACUGGUCUGGUACUGACGCUGAGGUGCGAAAGCGUGGGGAGCAAACCAGGAUUAGAUACCCUGGUAGUCCACGCCGUAAACGACUGAAUGUUAGCCGUCGGGCAGUUUAACUGUUCGGUGGCGCAGCUAACGCAUUAAACAUUACCGCCUGGGGAGUACGGUCGCAAGAUUAAAACCUCAAAACGAGUAAGUACGACGUCGAGAACGUAGCCACGGACGACACACGGAGGUAGAGG